CGGAGGCCACAGCAGCCGCACUAUUAUACAGACGGCGCUGGCGGCGCCGGUAUUUUCGUAUUCAACGCGACAGGUAGAAUACGAAGCUACGGCGUGUUGUUAUUGCUCCGUCUUCAACGGUUGUCGUGCGAGCUGCGUCGAUGUGUUUGUUUGACCGUGUGUUAUUAGGUUUGCUGUAAUGAAAUGAGACGUAGUUCGCGAGCACGAAAGUGCCAGAAGAUGGCUUGAGUCUCGCUGUAAGCACGCCGUAUGCGUGGCGCGCCAGCUAAAUGUGGACCAACGAUUUUCAUGCCAUGGAGUGCGUUCCCUUUGUCUCCGCUUGUGUUCGUGGAAAGUUUGGUGGACGGCGCAGAGAAGUAAUGCGUAUUAUUAGCGCGCCUCAGCUCGUCCACUACCCAGUGGCUUGUUUGCUGCAAGUAACAUCGCAGACGCAUCACUGGAAACUUGGAGAGUGCCUUUCGACCUCGUCGUACUGUUGAAACGUGGCGAGGCCGUGACCCACAACAUUAACUACAAGAUCGAGGAGCCCCAAGAGAUGCCGACCCUGUGGAUAUAUGGCUGCAGCAGCAUGGCGUGUGAUCUGGAUCGUCAUGACAGGCUCCACCGUCGCCGUUACUAGAUGGACCAAAUGAGGCCAAAAACUAGCCUUUCCUCGCUCCAUUCCUGGGAAGUGAAAUAGCAGGUGGUCAUGUAAGAAUGAACUUGCAACCAUGUGGACAGUAGCCAAAGCUCCCUACAGUUCAUGCUGGUGGUGGAAUGAUAAGACAAACCGCAAUAUUUAUUUGUUUACUUAUUCACUUCAUAUUUAUUUAUUCAUAUCACAUGAAUACUGUGCAGUUUUUUUAGCAAGGAGUCAGGUAAAAUAAAGAAAUAUUGUUGCAUCAAAGUAAACGUUAUUUGAAAAAGCAUAAUUCACGUAGCACGAAUUCAUGGAAACUGUAAAUUUUGAAGAAACAGAGCAGUAAGGUUAACAAAUCUUAUAUAACAAAAAAUGAGAUCACAUUUCUGUUGGACCUAAUACCAUAAUUUAAUCUGUCAAAUUAGAGAUACCAUAUGCUGCUCUAAUAUACAAUCACUAAUUUAUGAGUAGAUGCGCGAAACUCUCAAACGUUGCAACAAUUUCAUGCUAGCUGUAAAUUCGUAUAUACAGUUUGUUGACUUUAGACAUAGCAGAUGGAGUCUGCAGAACUAUGAUAUCUCUUUCUGGCACAGAGACGGGCAUUAGUAAGCUUCGUGGUGUUAUUUUUCUUAAACCUGCCAAAUAGUCCUUCCUGCAACAGGUAGAAUUCUCAAAUGCCGCAAACUUAAUUCAAAUUAGUGCUGUGGUUGUCUCAAAAGUAUUUCUGUAUUUUGGAUGUAUUUGAGUAGGAAAAUUUACAGAAUUAACGAACUUGUGCUAGCUCUUUUUUUUAUUUACAGUUGCAAACUAAGUCCUUUUCCUUCAAGUUUCGCUAUUUUCAGCAAAUUUUAAUAAAAAUUGAUGGUGUUAAUGUAAAAACUAUAAUUUAAACAUUUUUAAAUGUAUCAAACCUCAUCAAAUUUGGUUGCAUAGUUGCCGAGAAAAACGAUUUUACUGUUCAUGUGCAUUACAUAGGAGCUCCUGAGCUAGAUCUCUUUUUUAGUCAUUGCGUGUGUCGGUCUGGUUUGUAUUUCUCACCCUAAUUAGAAUAUUGGCUCUGAUCUCAAAAUUGUUUCCCUUACAACGAAAUACAAGCUUUUAAACUUUUUACGAUAUAUGCUGUACUGCUCUAUGAUAACCCCUGUUUGCCACAUUUUUGCAGGGCCUACCAGUGCUAAUUUUACACAUAAACAUAGACUAAAAUGCUGUUUGGUUUCGGUAUAUGGUGUACUUAUCUGUGAAAGCCAUUAUUUGCCACAUUUUUGCAGCGACUGCCAGUGUUAUUUUUGCUCAGACUAAAAUGCUGUGUCGUUUCGUCAGGCUGACACAACAUUGCAGUGCACAUUCAUAUCAGUCUAUUUUCAGGCUUUAGUAUCCAAACAUUUAAUGUGCACUGCUGGAACAGGCACUCCUUUUGCAGUUUUAAGGGUAUGGUUUCUUGUCCAGGUCAAGCCUGUUAUUGCGAGGUGUCAACUGCAAUCAAGUCUGCCACUGAUUCUUUUACCUCAUGUUUCGUGUGUUUGCACCACCAGCUUGACCUGAGAAGCAUGUUGGCAGCUACAGUUUGUGUGUUGCAAGUUCUAGUCUGAAGUGUGUAUGUCACAUAUAUGAAGCAUGUAUCUAGUCUGAAGUGCAAUAAACAUU